rnacentral:rRNA from 1 species
AGAUUGAACGCUGGCGGCAGGCCUAACACAUGCAAGUCGAGCGGCAGCACGGGUACUUGUACCUGGUGGCGAGCGGCGGACGGGUGAGUAAUGCCUAGGAAUCUGCCUGGUAGUGGGGGAUAACGCUCGGAAACGGACGCUAAUACCGCAUACGUCCUACGGGAGAAAGCAGGGGACCUUCGGGCCUUGCGCUAUCAGAUGAGCCUAGGUCGGAUUAGCUAGUUGGUGAGGUAAUGGCUCACCAAGGCGACGAUCCGUAACUGGUCUGAGAGGAUGAUCAGUCACACUGGAACUGAGACACGGUCCAGACUCCGUACGGGAGGCAGCAGUGGGGAAUAUUGGACAAGUGGGACGAAAGCCUGAUCCAGCCAUGCCGCGUGUGUGAAGAAGGUCUUCGGAUUGUAAAGCUACGUUUAAGUUGGAGGAAGGCAAGUUACCUAAUACGUAUCGUGUUUGACGUUACGACAGAAUAAGCACGCUACUCUG